rnacentral:rRNA from 1 species
UACGUAGGGUGCAAGCGUUAAUCGGAAUUACUGGGCGUAAAGCGUGCGCAGGCGGUUGUGCAAGACCGAUGUGAAAUCCCCCGGGCUCAACCUGGGAACUGCAUUUGUGACUGCAUCGCUGGAGUGCGGCAGAGGGGGAUGGAAUUCCGCGUGUAGCAGUGAAAUGCGUAGAUAUGCGGAGGAACACCGAUGGCGAAGGCAAUCCCCUGGGCCUGCACUGACGCUCAUGCACGAAAGCGUGGGGAGCAAACAGG